UGGGUGGUGGAGAAAAUAGCGUUUUAUUUAUUUAUUCAUUUAUUUAUCUUCUUCCUGACCUCUUCUCCACUCAAGUAAACUAUAUCAUGUCCCACCAAUUCUCUCUCUCUCUCUCUCUCUCUCUCUCUCUCUCUCUCUCUUGAAGUUUUCUAUUAUUUUUUCUCAAAUUAAAGAGGGGUGGUGGAGUUUGACCUCUCUAUACCUCACCUGCCUAUCAAUGAAACUUUUGAAUGGAGUUUACUUUAGGAGAUACUAGCAGGUUAGGUGGUCACAAAUAUACCUCUCCUAGCUGAAUUUACCGAGUAAUUGAAAUAACUAUGUUUUCAGUUUGGUCUCCCACACACACACAGACAAAAUUAAGUCUUUAAAAAUACGAUAUAAUUGCUAAUAUCUUCUGUGGAGUAGGUAAUGUAGGCUUCACACAUAAACAAACUUGAGUCUUUAGAGAAUAAGUUAUAAUUCCUAAUAUCUUGUGUGGGAAAAUGUUUUGGAUUCAUUUUAAUUAAGUCAUCCUCACCCAUAAAAACAAAGUUGAGUUAGAGGAUAUGAUAAACAGAUUACAUGAAGCAUUUAUCAGACUGAAAUGUGUUAGGCUUGAAUAUUGUAAAAUGUUUUGGGACCGUAAGUAAAGCAGAUAUGUAAAGCCAGGAGUGUUCUAGAGCAAACAGUUUUUAUCUUAAGUACAGCCACUGGGAUUAUGUGUGUAAUGAAAAUUUGUAGACCAAGAAAUUCCCCCAUCCACCCAAAUAAAAAAAUAAAAAAGAUUUAUAUAAUUGGAUUGGUUCAUCAUUAACACUGUCACUAAAGCAUUACAAAAUAAGAAAAUGAGAAAUUAAUAAUGGGAAAAAUACGAAAAAAGGCCAGAGAUAAAUGCUAACAUAACCAUAACAAAGAAAAUAUUUAAGCCCGCGGUCUCUUCCCCUUGUAAGUCACGUAGCGCAAGGUCAGAAAUGGCUUGGCUUCAAAAUGUGGCUUUUUUUUCCUGCUCCCUCCUUCAGCUGCACUUUUCCCGCGACACACUUCAGUCACAAGAUGAAUGCAGUCAGCUACAGCAUGACAUAGACAAGCUAUAGACAGUUGAGAGAGGAAGAAGUCAGUGGCACCCUCACCUCAGACAAGACAAAGCUAACAAUUGAUAAUGAAAGACACACUUCAGUCACAAGAUGAAUGCAGUCAGCUACAGCAUGACAUAGACAAGCUAUAGACAGUUGAGAGAGGAAGAAGUCAGUGGCACCCUCACCUCAGACAAGACAAAGCUAACAAUUGAUAAUGAAAGACACACUUCAGUCACAAGAUGAAUGCAGUCAGCUACAGCAUGACAUAGACAAGCUAUAGACAGUUGAGAGAGGAAGAAGUCAGUGGCACCCUCACCUCAGACAAGACAAAGCUAACAAUUGAUAAUGAAAGGUGACAUUAUUCUCUUUAAAGGACUCUAUUAUUAUUGUACCCAUGAAAGCUGUUCUAUUUUUUAUUUAUUUCUCUGUAUUAUAAGUAUUUUGUAUGUAAACUCCGAUCACAAUCUCAUAUCUUUAUCUUGUCCUAUCACUCCAAUCCCUCCUCAGGAUCCCCCUAAGUGAAGGUGCCUCUGGCGUUUUGCCUCUGCUAGUUGGGGGGACCUGAGGAGGUAUUUUGCUGAUUUUCCUUGGAAUGACCACUGCUUCCGUGUCAGAGAGCCGUCUUUGUGUGCUGAGCGCAUAACAGAGGUGAUAGUGUCUGGCAUGGAGGCGUACAUUCCUCACUCUUUUUCUUGCCCUAAACCUUCUAAACCUUGGUUUAACACAGCUUGUUCUCGUGCUAUACAUGAUAGAGAGGUGGCCCACAAAAGGUACUUAAGCCUUCCAUCACCAGAAUCUCAUGCACUUUAUAUUUCUGGCUGGAACCAUGCCAAGUCUGUUCUCCAACUAGCCAAAAACUCCUUCAUUAACAGAAAAUGUCAAAACCUUUCAAGAUCUAACUCCCCUCGUGAUUUCUGGCAUCUAACCAAAAAUAUCUCCAAUAACUUUGCUUCUUCUUCUUUCCCUCCUCUAUUUCAACCAGAUGGCACCACUGCUAUCACAUCUAUUUCUAAAGCUGAACUCUUCACUAAAACCUUUGCUAAAAACUCUACCUUGGAGGAUUCUGGGCUUGCUCCUCCCUCUCCUCCACCCUCUGACUACUUCAUGCCACCUAUUAAAAUUCUUUGCAAUGAUGUCUUCCAUGCCCUCGCUGGCCUAAACCCUCGGAAGGCUUAUGGACCUGAUGGGGUCCCUCCUAUUGUUCUCCAAAACUGUGCCUCCGUGCUUGCACCUUGCCUUGUCAAACUCUUUCAGCUGUGUCUGUCAACAUCUACCUUUCCUUCUUGCUGGAAGUUUGCCUACAUUCAACCUGUUCCUAAAAAGGGUGACCGUUCUAAUCCCUCA